rfam:Streptomyces sp. CB00455 scaffold8, whole genome shotgun sequence.
AGGGCGACAGGAUCAACCGCGCGGGUGACCAUGAGGUAGUCCCGGAUGGCAAUACUGUGGCGGCCUUC